rnacentral:lncRNA from 1 species
UGGGUUAAUGGUUGGACUGGAGGAUCUUCAAGGUCCUUUCCAACCGAGAUGAUUCUGUGAUUCUGUGAAUUGGCCCUGCCAGGGCUGCUGGAGCCAAACAAGGAGUGAGGCCCCAGAAGACUUCUUUAAAAUCUUAGGAUUUUUAAACGAGCGCUAUUUUUGAGCUCUUCCCACACACACACAACUCAACAUCUCCGGCAGAUCGCCUCCAGCUGACAACCCUGAGCUCAUGGUGGCUGCCGCCUCCACUCUCCCCCUGCCCUCAAGCUCAUUUCCAUGCUGCUGAGUGCCUGGAGAUUAAUUUUAAAACUUGAAGCUCUACAUAUAGUCAGGUAGUUGGUACAGAGUCGUUGUUAGUGAGCUGAGAUAAAUACUCAAAAGUAGAACAAAUUCUGAGUUAAGAAAUCUGUACACGGAGGUUAAGAUACUAUCCUGGCUGAUCAUUAAUCAUAAACUUCCUCCUCAAGAGAGGUAGGAUCAGUCUGGUUUGAGACUGCGUGUGGAACAAGAGAUUGAAGGAUUUGUUAGACCUUACGUUGUACUAAUCUAGCAAGCAAAGGAUUGGCAAGAUCCAGCAGCUGGAGAUGAGAAAUCAGUGUUUAGCCAGGAGGGCAGUUAACCACUACCUUCAGAGCUGGCAGAUGUUCUGCCAUGUAGGAUCUUUAAAUCAGUAUGCAGCAUCUCUUUCUCUAGAUCCAGUUCAAGCAGAAAUUAUCGUGCUGGAGGCAGGUACCAGUCAGUGAAACGCUGUCAGACUAUAUCAUCAUACGGCCCUCUUGGAGCUUAAAAUCAAGAGGGAUGUUUGAGCAGAGUGUCAGAACAGACUGUCACUUCAUGGACUAAUGGAGAUAAAAAGUCAGCAUGUGCCUGCACAGUGCUUACCUUCGUGCUACCUGCUCCUCAUCUCCCAACAGACACAUCGAAUCAGUCUCUGCAUCCACCUCGUCUUGAUUUUCCAAGGGAAGCAGUUUUGUCGCUGUUUCUCAUGUCUGGAAGAGUCUUGGGGACCUGUGAAGAGAGCUGGGAGCCAUCUGGCUGGUAACACAUCAGGACAGCAGCAGAAGGUCACUUCCCUGGAUAUUGGCCAGGCUGGAUACACCUGAGGGCAAUGUAAAUACAAAUAACAAUAAAACAAUUCAGAAAGGUUAGUGACAAGACUGCAACUGUCCUUCUGGGGCAGCAUGUCUUUUCAUGACUGCUAUGUGAAAU